UGUUUAUCAGGUCAAGAUCUAUCUGCCCUGAAAUUUUCAGAUGAAUCGGACAAUCGGUUGUUGGGUUGCUGCCCCUGAAUUGGUAAUUUUGAGGAAAUUUUGCUGUUUUUGGUUAUUAUCUUGAAUAUUAUUAUAGAUAGAGAUAAAUUGUAAACAGCAAUAAUGUUCAGCAAAGUAAGAUCUACAAAUAAGUCAACAUGACCAAAAUGGUCAGUUGACCCCUUUAGGAGUUAUUGCCCUUUAUAGUCAAUCUUUAACCAUUUUUCAUAAAUCUAAGUAAUCUUUUACAAAAUCUCCAUUGAAACUACUAGGCCACAAUCAUCUUUGGGUAUCUAGUUUGAAAAAUGUGUCGAUGACCUGGCCAUUCAACCAAGAUGGCCGCCACGGCUAAAAAUAGAACAUAGGGGUAAAAUGCAGUUUUUGGCUUAUAACUAUGAAUUCAAAGCAUCUAGAGCAAAUCUGACAAGAAGUUAAAUUGUUAAUCAAGUCAAUAUCUAUCUGCCCUGAAUUUUUCAGAUGAAUUGGACAACUGGUUGUUGGGUUGCUGCCCUACAAUUGGUAAUUUUUAAAGAAAUUUUGCCGUUUUUGGUUAUCUUGAAUACUAUUAUAGAUAGCGAUAAACUGUAAACAGCAAUAAUGUUCAGCAAAGUAAGAUCUACAAAUAAGUCAACAUGACCUAAAUGGUCAAUUGACCCCUUAAGGAGUUAUUGCCCUUUAUAGUCAAUUUUUAACAAUUUUCAUUAAUUUGGUAAAUAUAUGUAAAUUUUUACCAAAUAUAGUUCUCUGUUACUAAUGGGCAAAGUUCAUUAUAGAUAUAAUUGUAAGAAGCAAAAUCGUUCAGUAAAGUAAGAACUUCAAACACAUCACCAUCACCAAAAUACAAUUUUGUCAUGAAUCCAUUUGUGUCCUUUGUUUAAUAUGCACAUAGACCAAGGUGAGCGACACAGGCUCUUUAGAGCCUCUAGUUCAUAAAUCUUAGUAAUCUUUUAGAAAAAUCUUCUCCUCUGAAACUACUGGGCCAAACUUAACCAAACUUAGCCAUAAUUGGGGUAUCUAGUUAAAAAAUGUGUCUGGUAACUCGGCCAACAAACCAAGAUGGCCGCCAUGGCUAAAAAUAGAACAUGGGGGUAAAAUGCAGUUUUUGGCUUAUAACUCAAAAACCAAAGCAUUAAGAGCAAAUCUGACAGGAAGUAAAAUUGUUGAUCAGGUCAUGAUCUAUCUGCCCUGGAAUUUUCAGAUGAAUUGGAUAAUCUGUUGUUAGGUUGCUGCCCCUGAAUUGGUAAUUUUGAGGAAAUUUUGCUGUUUUUUUUUGUUAUCUUGAAUAUUAUUAUAGAUAGAGAUAAACUGUAAACAGCAAUAAUGUACAGCAAAGUAAGAACUAAAAAUAAGUGACUAUGACCAAAAUAGUCAAUUGACCCCCUAAGGAGUUAUUGCCCUUCAAAGUCAAUUUUUAACAAUUUUCUUAAAAUUUGAAGAUUUUCAAUAACAUUUUCCACAGAAAGUACUGUUAUAGAUAGAGAUAAUUGUAAGCAGCAAGAAUGUUUAGUAAAGUAAGAUCUACAAACACAUCACCAUCACCAAAACACAAUUUUGUCAUGAAUCCAUCUGUGUCCAUUGUUUAAUAUUCACAUUGACCAAGGUGAGCGACACAGGCUCUUUAGAGCCUCUAGUUUCUAUAAAUGAA
rnacentral:lncRNA from 1 species